rnacentral:lncRNA from 1 species
CCCCAUCGAGCUCUUCUCCCUCCAGCGAUGGGAUCCUGGGCGCGUUCCCACUUCAACCCCUCACGCGCCGAAGGCCUAGUGAGGAAAGGCUUCCUUUGCGAGAGGACGGAGAGGGAUGAGUGGGGGUUCCCUGAGAUGGAAGAGGUGCCGACUCCGCCCACUGGCUACGUUGUUUCCUUCGCCCACUUCCACGAGAGGGGGUUCGCGACUCCACCGAGCCUCUUCUUCCGCGGGCUCUUGCAUUACUACGGGCUUGAGCUACAGCACCUCAAC